rnacentral:rRNA from 1 species
UACGUAGGUGACAAGCGUUGUCCGGAUUUACUGGGCGUAAAGAGCGCGCAGGCGGUCGGUCAAGUCGAGUGUGAAAGCCCCCGGCUCAACUGGGGAGGGUCAUUCGAUACUGAUCGACUCGAAGGCAGGAGAGGGUAGUGGAAUUCCCGGUGUAGUGGUGAAAUGCGUAGAUAUCGGGAGGAACACCGGUGGCGAAGGCGGCUAUCUGGACCGAUACUGACGCUGAGACGCGAAAGCGUGGGGAGCAAACAGG